CGGAUGCACGUUGGAAGAAUGACUCUGGAGUCCAUCAUGGCGUGCUGCCUGAGCGAGGAGGCCAAGGAAGCCCGGCGGAUCAACGACCAGAUCGAGCGGCAGCUCCGCAGGGACAAGCGGGUCGCCAGCCGGGAGCUCAAGCUGCUGCUGCUCAGGACAGGAGAGAGUGGCAAGAGUACAUUUAUCAAGCAGACGAGAAUCAUCCAUGGGUCAGGAUACUCUAAUGAAGAUAAAAGGGGCUUCACCAAGCUGGUUUAUCAGAACAUCUUCACGGCCAUGCAGGCCAUGAUCAGAGCCAUGGACACACUCAAGAUCCAGUACAAGUAUGAGCACGAUAAGGCUCAUGCACAAUUAGUUCGAGAAGUUGAUGUGGAGAAAGUGUCUGCUUUUGAGAAUCCAUAUGUAGAUGCGAUAGUUUAUGUAAUUAUCCUGGAAUCCAGGAAUGCUAUGAUAGACGAGAAUAUCAAUUAUCUGACUCUACCAAAUACUAUCUCAAUGACUUGGACGCGUAGCUGACCCUGCCUACCAGCCUACGCGAGAAGAUGUGCUUAGAGUUCGAGUCCCCACCGCAGGGAUCAUCGAAUAACCCUUUGAUUUACAAAGGGUCAUUUUCAGAAUGGUUGAUGUAGGGGACCCAAAGUCAGAGAGAAGAUAAUGGAUAUACUGCUUUGAGAAUGUCACCUCUAUCAUGUUUCUAGUAGCGCUUAGUGAAUAUGAUCGAGUUCUCGUGGAGUCAGACAAUGAGAACAGAAUGGAGGAAAGGAAGGCUCUCUUUAGAACAAUUAUCACAUAUCCCUGGUUCCAGAACUCCUCGGUUAUUCUGUUCUUAAACAUGAAAGAUCUUCUAGAGGAGGAAAUCAUGUAUUCCCAUCUAGUCGACUACUUCCCAGAAUAUGAUGGACCCCAGAGAGAUGCCCAGGCAGCCCUGGAAUUCCUUCUGAAGAUGUUCAUGGACCUGAACCCAGACAGUGACAAAAUUAUCUACUCCCGCUUCACAUGCACCACAGACACCGAGAAUAUCCGCUUUGUCUUUGCUGCCGUCAAGGACAUCAUCCUCCAGUUGAACCUGAAGUAGUACAAUCUGGUCUAA